GAGUUUGAUCGUGGCUCAGGAUGAACGCUGGCGGCGUGCUUAACACAUGCAAGUCGAACGGGGUUAUGAAGUGUGAGGAGUCAGCUUGCUGGUGACGAACAGUUCAUAACUUAGUGGCGGACGGUGAGUAACGCGUGGGUAACCUGCCAUAUACAGGGGGGAUAACACUUAGAAAUAGGUGCUAAUACCGCAUAAGCGCACGGAGCUGCUAUGGCUCAGUGUGAAAAACUCCGGUGGUAUAUGAUGGACCCGCGUCU
rnacentral:rRNA from 1 species